UACGGAGGUGGCAAGCGUUGCUCGGAAUCACUGGGCGUAAAGGGCGCGUAGGCGGGGAGGUAAGUCGGGUGUGAAAUCCCUCGGCCCAACCGAGGAACUGCGCCCGAGACUGCUUCUCUUGAGUCCCGGAGAGGAAGGUGGAAUUCCCGGUGUAGCGGUGAAAUGCGUAGAGAUGUGGAGGAACACCAGUGGCGAAGGCGACUUUCUGGUCUGUAACUGACACUGAGGCGCGAAAGCGUGGGGGAGCGAACAGG
rnacentral:rRNA from 1 species